GCCCAAAUUCUUAUAGUAAUAUAGUUACUUGACUGUGCUAUAAAAUAGCACAAUGUGGCUGGAAAAC